GGGAGUUCUUCUCAAGCUUUCAUAACUCUUUCAAGUUAGUCUCAAAUUUCAUGCUUUUGUGCACCUUUUCACAAGCUUUUUGUGCUCUUUUACUCUUUCACCUUAAAAACCCUCCAAAGUCUUAAACUAAUACUUUCUCUCACUAGCUAGGUGUUUUAGAGAGAGAAAAAAGGACUCUCUAUAAUAGUUUGGGAAUUUUUGAGGAGGAAUCCAAUUACAAAUCUAGCAAGGGGAUGCUCAUGUCGGUAAUGAUAGGGUGUGGGGGUGUGGAGGAUGACAUAGUUGUGCGCCAUGUGGGGGUGCACACGAUGACUCCAACUAUGUGCGUGAUGUGGGGGUUGCACAUGAGCUGGGUGAGGCAGUGGUGAUAUGCAUGCUGAAGAAGCAAUCGGAACCUAGGUCGAGGUGUUCAUGUAGAUUCGUCUCUUAAGUAGGUAUCUCGGCAUUCAAUAGCUGAACCUCUACCACGGUCACUCUGCUGGAAGUUAAGAGUCAUUUUGUUUGUGAAUAUGUUCAUUUGAUGUAAAGUAUUAAGAUAUGUGUCUCAAACAAGGAAUGUAUAUUGUGAUUGGUAAUGCCACCACGAGUUGGCAAUGGUUAACAUUAUUUUGGGUUAAUGUGAAAUGCAGUUUUUGAUUGCUAUAGCACAUUAAUUAGGUACUUAUAGGUUGGAAGUAUGAAAGGUGACUUUAAGAAUAGUUGAUGGAAUGAUGAGAAGGAUUACAUAAAUAGGCUUGCUUGGGCUUGGUGGGCUAUGCCCAUUGGGU